UCAGAAUAAAUCUCAUCGGCUAAACAACAUCUCUUCUUCCCUCUGCUCUAGACCAAGAGAUCAUACUUUUUUGUCUACUACUCAUCGGGAUUGCAUCAUCCCUUCUUCUUUCAAGAGGAUUUGUCAUGUCCCUGAUCCUAGAUGGGACCGUCGGGGCGGGCCAUAUGGUUUGAGGAAACGUACCAGCUGGUCAUGUGACCAAAAGGCAAGUGUUCCAUGGCCGAAAUGAUAGUUAAGGAAAUCAGAAGGCUGAGACUUAACCGAAUAAAAAUGGAAACAAAGUUAAUCACGUUGGACGAGUUUAACAGUAGAUGGGCGACGCAAACACGAAGCUCGACCAGCUAGACGGCGCUGAGACAGAUUUCGGAUAAAGUGAUCCAGCUCGACCAGCUGGAUAACUAGCUCACUCAGCUAGGUCAGCUGAGGGCCAUUCUGAUCGAUUUCUCAUAUCAGUUUCUCAAAGAAACAAAAGGCAAAGGCCGAGAAAGAAAGAGAGAAAGGAGAGAGAGAGUUGGCCGACCAUAACAAGGCGGUCGAGGUGAUUUAGAGUUCUGGCGAGAAGGAGAACGUUUUGGGAAGACAAGGGACGUGUGGUAUGGAUACCAGAGGCAAAGAGAAAGGCAUGGAGAAGGACUCCAACCCUCAGGAACACACGUCCAAGGUCAGUUGAGUGAGCAGGCGAUCCAUCGGCUAGACCAUCGGUUAGACCAAUCGAGUCUAAGGCUAUGGGUGAUUGGUUACAUCCCUUUCUCCCCAUGUUUAUUGAUUUAUAUUCUUCUUCUUCUUCUGUACAUGUGAUCUAAGUAAUGGUUGGGAUGGGUUAGAAGAACCAAGGCCAAGGCUGGUUCAUACAAUCGUAGUCCAUAACCCUCCUGUGGGACGUACGCAUGGCCGAUCGGCCAAGUGUUUGUCCGGUUGGAUCAGGCGGUUACUAAGUAACUGACUGUACAUUUUCCUUAACCAUUGCGACAGUUUGAGGCUUAGGCCGGAUGUAUCACUACAAAAAAAGUAUACAUUAAUAGCACAUUAUUAUAGCACGUUUUACCGAACUGCUAUCGUAGAUGAUUUAGAAAUUUCCGUAUUAUAUAAUAGCAUUAGAUAAACGCUAUGAUAGAGAAAAACCUAAAAUAGCAUUUAAUUAAUGCUAUUUUAAGAAAUACGUGAGCGGGAAAAAUAAAAUCACCAGUUUUACCAGUACUUAGCGGGAAUUUAGAUUUAAGCGCCAAAAAUAUUAUUUAAGCGGCUUAAUAAAACUACAAAAGACUUAUAAUAGCAUUUUUAUAAUGCUAAGAAAAGCUAUUUGAACCCCUUAACCUUAAACAUGGUUUUAAACCCUAAACACUAAACACAACCCUUAAAACUCUAAUCUUUUUCUAUCAUAACUUCAAAUCUUAAAAUUAAACUUAAAAUUUAAUCUUCUUGAUCUUAAACUAUAAUUUCCUAACCACAUAUCCUUAAUCUUUAAUCAAUCUCUAUAUCCUAAAUCAUAACUUCAAACAUAAAUUAUACAUUAUGUGUAAACAUACAAACUUUUUAAAUGAUGACCAAACUUAAAUAUUAAUUCUUAAAAUAAAUAUCAAUUUAUUAUGUUCAAAAAUAACUUUAAACUUAAAUUCCAAAGUACAAAGUAUAAAUUUUGAAAUAAGGUAUAAGUAAGAAAAAUUAUUUACAAAACAAAUCAUCAAAGAUUGAAGGAAAAAAAAAGACAAUUUAUAAAGAUUAUAUUCUUGCUACGAUUUAGCUACGAAAUAUUUUGUAGGUCUUUAUAAAAUAGCCACGAAAUGCCACGGUUUUUUUGUACAUGCUUAAAACCCUAAACCCUAAAAUUCUUUUAAACCCUAAACCCUAAAUAUAAACCUUAAAACUCUAUUUUUUCAUAAUUUAACUUAAAUCUUAAAUUUAAAUUCAUAAUUUAAUUUCAAAUCAUAAUUUAAACCCCAAAUACUAUAUUCCAACCCCUUAAUCAAAACUUUAUAUUCCAUAUACACUAAACUUUACUAUACAUAAAAUACUCUAAAUAUAAACUUCAAAACUAAAAUUUUGAAAAUUUAACUACAAAACUUAGACCUAAUAUUCAAAUCUAAUAUUUUCAUACUCUGAUCCAAAAUCUUAAAUCAUAGUCUUGAUAUUAAUCAAAUAUUUUCAAACUUAAACAUCAAUUCUUAAAAUAAAUAUAAACUUAUUAUGUUCAAAAAAGAAAACUCUAAACUUAAAUUAUAAACUCGAAAAUACAAAAUUUUAUAUAAGGUAUAACUAAGAAAAAAUACUUAGAAAACAAAUUAUCAAAUAUUUAAGAACAAAACAAAAAUAAAAAUAGAAAAAGAAAGACAAAAUUUCUGGCCAAUCAGAUUCAAAUACCUAGAUCACACUCUUAACCUUUGGAUUAACUUAGAUCUAAAGGUAGAGAUUUAUUCAAUUUAAUUUUUAUUUUUUUCUUCUCUCUCUCUCACGACAGAUCUCAUCUCAUCUCCUUCUCUGCUUUUUUUUCCCCGAUUCUCUCUUCACUCUAACCUCUCAUCCUCAUAUCCAAUAUCUCUCUUCUCUCUCAUCUCUCUCAACGCCUCUCUCAUCUCGCCCAUCUCUCUCAACGCCUCUCUCAUCUUACCACCACCGUGUCUCCUCCUCGUCUCACCACCACCGUUUUCCCCCUUGUCUCACCACCACCACGGUCGACGUCUCUCUCUCUCUCUCUCUCUCUCUCUCUCUCUUCGUAUAUGUGUAUCUCCUUCUCUCUGUUGCUCUAUUACGAAUCUGAUUUUGUUUUGUUUUUGGUAAAGAUAGGAGGAGCCAAGGUUCAUGGUGGCUGGAGGAAGCAAGGUUCAUGGCUGCUGGAAGAGGGACAAGGCUAUGGAGGAGGCGGCAGGAGUUUUUUCUUUAGGUUUAGGUUAGGUUUGGUUAAGUGUAAACCGAGUUAGGAAAAUUGUAGUGGUCUGAUUUUAUUUUUUAAUUUCUGGUUUAGUUUUGUAAACCAGAAUUAAUCUGUAAACCAAAUAAAAUUUAUUUUAUUUUCAGUUACAAAAUAAUUUUUAAUUGUUAUAUUUCUAGUUAUAGCUUUAUAUCAAUGUCAUUAUAUGUACAUCAUAACACGAAUCAGAAGCUAUAGUUAAGUUAAUAAUAUCAUAUAAGUGUUGCUAUCGUAUCUGUAUAUUUCGUAGCAUUCAGAAAACACUAUCGUAGGAGGGGUACCUAUGAUGGCUGCCGUAUACAUAGCAUUUGUGAAUUCGCUAUCAAACAUCUACUAUAGCAUAUUUCUCGCGCUAACAAUGUACAUAUUUAUUGUAGUGUAUCAAUCGUGCUCCAAGGCCAACAGGCUGGACGCGCACCAAGGUAUGAUCGGCCGAGACGUAUAUGAUCGAUUGGACCGGACGGCUAAAAGACAACAUGGUGUUGUUCUGUUCCUAAACGGUUUCAUGUGCCAAAUCUUGGGCAUGGGCGUUGGCCGGUUGUGGUAAGUAAGUCUAAAGCCCAUGGGACAGACUAAAAGGUAAGCCGAUUGAUCCUAUGUCUAAACUGUGCGGUCGGAUUGGACUAUGGGCGGCUCGAUUGUGUUUUGGUAAAGGGUGAUUGUACUUAGAUGGGAUCUGAGUAUGGCAGCUCAAUAUAUGUUGGAUUUGAUAGAGAUUUAUGAAGUAGAUAUUGAAACCGAACCAUACAUUGCUAGAAUCGAUUGAUAGGUUAUCUGAUUGUGUCUAAUGUUAUGGUUUACGGUUUCAGGAUCUGUGAUUACUCGUGGUACGCCAAGGAGCCGUGAAGACUCGGUCAGUAGUGUGGUGUUGUCAAUGAUUCCAUGCACACAAAAGCUCCCUCCUGUCUCAAAGACAUAAUGUUAAAGCCCUUUAACAUACCAUAGAUGCUCCAUGAGACAAUAUCUUCAAAGGUGCUGCAAUGUAUGAAGAACUUGUUCGAGUGCUGCAAUGAUAUGUUUGUAUCGUAUUCUUGGCAAACUUUUAAGAAACUUCUUCACAAGCUUUUGGUUCAUCAAUGACUUCACCAAGUGCUAUGGAUUUAGAAGAAAUUUCAUAGCCACUUUUGCUCAUCAGACUCACUCUCAAAGCGUAAACCUUACCUGGUACGUUGAUUCUCUGUUUUUGGAUAUAAAUUGAAGUAACUGUUUUACUC